rnacentral:rRNA from 1 species
CUGAUUGAACGUGCUUGCACGGACUUGACGUUGGUUUACCAGCGAGUGGCGGACGGGUGAGUAACACGUAGGUAACCUGCCCCAAAGCGGGGGAUAACAUUUGGAAACAGAUGCUAAUACCGCAUAACAAUUUGAAUCGCAUGAUUCAAAUUUAAAAGAUGGCUUCGGCUAUCACUUUGGGAUGGACCUGCGGCGCAUUAGCUUGUUGGUAGGGUAACGGCCUACCAAGGCUGUGAUGCGUAGCCGAGUUGAGAGACUGAUCGGCCACAAUGGAACUGAGACACGGUCCAUACUCCUACGGGAGGCAGCAGUAGGGAAUCUUCCACAAUGGGCGCAAGCCUGAUGGAGCAACACCGCGUGAGUGAAGAAGGGUUUCGGCUCGUAAAGCUCUGUUGUUAGAGAAGAACGUGCGUGAGAGCAACUGUUCACGCAGUGACGGUAUCUAACCAGAAAGUCACGGCUAACUACGUGCCAGCAGCCGCGGUAAUACGUAGGUGGCAAGCGUUAUCCGGAUUUAUUGGGCGUAAAGCGAGCGCAGGCGGUUUGAUAAGUCUGAUGUGAAAGCCUUUGGCUUAACCAAAGAAGUGCAUCGGAAACUGUCAGACUUGAGUGCAGAAGAGGACAGUGG